CCGGCAAACGGGUGCGGAACACGUACAGAACCUUCCUUUAAUGGGGGAUAGCCCGAAGAAAUUCGGAUUAAUACCCCGUAACAUUAUGUUGUGGCAUCACAUUAUAAUUAUAGAUUUAUCGCUUAGAGAUGGCUGUGCGGCUGAUUAGGUAGUUGGCGGGGUAAAGGCCCACCAAGCCUUCGAUCAGUAACUGGUGUGAGAGCACGACCAGUCACACGGGCACUGAGACACGGGCCCG
rnacentral:rRNA from 1 species